AGUCGGUGAAAACCUGCGAGUUUGUGCGAGCCACUUUGUGUCGGACUGUUCUUCAAGCCGGGGCCAGUACAACACCGGACUGGCAGAAAAAGAUGGAGCAAUUCCAACUGUCCUUGGCGAAGCUACAGAGGAGAGAAAUAGUGCAUCACACCUAUCGGCAACACCCAUGCUCAACGGUUUAAAGAACCAUGUGCAACCUCAGGGCCUGAGAAGGUGGCCAAGUGGACUUCACUGUUUUACCACAUCCAAAACAUCCAUGGGCGUGAAGACCCCCUCUCCCUAAAGACAAAAAGGGUGAAGCCACCACAAAGCCUGUUAAAACAGAACCCACAUUCAAUUAUGUGGGUGACUUCAUGAGGAUGGUGUUUGAGGACCCAGAACCAUUUGUGGAGGAGUUGAAAAAAAUCCCCAUCCCCAAUAUGACAGGCCGUCAAAGGAGGAAGUGGUUGCCUGCUAAAUGUCAGGCUUCAGUCAAGGGGCGGUCGGAAGCCAACAUACUGGUCAACUGGAUCAGGAAACUCCUUGCGGAUCCGGAGGACGACACUUGACAGGAUGACGGCCCUGUAGUGGGGUCCCACAGCACCAACUGCGAGGAAAAACAAUGAAAACAGUGAGGCAUUAUUUUAGUUGCAAAUUGCCCUUCUACUGAUAAAUAUUUUUUUAUCUAUGUAUAUUUCUGGUUUCCUUACAUUUGCAAAAAAUAAA